UACGUAGGGAGCAAGCGUUGUCCGGAAUCAUUGGGCGUAAAGCGCGCGUAGGCGGCUCGAUCAGUCUGUUGUGAAAGUCAAAGGCUCAACCUUUGAAUGCCGAUGGAUACUGUCGAGCUAGAGUCCGGAAGAGGCGAGUGGAAUUCCUGGUGUAGCGGUGAAAUGCGCAGAUAUCAGGAGGAACACCAAUGGCGAAGGCAGCUCGCUGGGACGGUACUGACGCUGAGACGCGAAAGCGUGGGGAGCAAACAGG
rnacentral:rRNA from 1 species